UGGGCGACUAUUUGAAGGGCAUGAUU
rnacentral:piRNA from 1 species